rnacentral:rRNA from 1 species
AUUGAACGCUAGCGGGAUGCUUUACACAUGCAAGUCGAACGGCAGCGCGGACUUCGGUCUGGCGGCGAGUGGCGAACGGGUGAGUAAUGUAUCGGAACGUGCCCAGUAGCGGGGGAUAACUACGCGAAAGCGUAGCUAAUACCGCAUACGCCCUACGGGGGAAAGCAGGGGAUCGUAAGACCUUGCACUAUUGGAGCGGCCGAGAUCGGAUUAGCUAGUUGGUGAGGUAACGGCUCACCAAGGCGACGAUCCGUAGCUGGUUUGAGAGGACGACCAGCCACACUGGGACUGAGACACGGCCCAGACUCCUACGGGAGGCAGCAGUGGGGAAUUUUGGACAAUGGGGGCAACCCUGAUCCAGCCAUCCCGCGUGUGCGAUGAAGGCCUUCGGGUUGUAAAGCACUUUUGGCAGGAAAGAAACGUCGCGGGCUAAUACCCCGUGGAACUGACGGUACCUGCAGAAUAAGCACCGGCUAACUACGUG